AUGGCAAGAAUUUUUGGAACCUUUGGAGAGUACCCAUCAAAGUUGUUGGGGCCUGUGGCUUUGGGCAUGUACAAAAUUAAUUAUGCCAGUGCACAGAGGGGUAAAAGUGGAAGGUGCGACAGUAGAGUGUGGCCGUUCUCUCGGUCCAAAGUCUCCUCAGCAACAGGGGCGAGUCAGUCGCAGGGCAUCCAGCAGCUACUGCAGGCCGAGAAGCGGGCGGCCGAGAAGGUGUCCGAGGCCCGCAAGCGAAAGAACCGGAGGCUGAAGCAGGCCAAAGAAGAAGCCCAGGCUGAAAUUGAACAGUACCGCCUGCAGAGGGAAAAGGAGUUCAAGGCCAAGGAAGCUGCGGCACUGGGGUCCCAUGGCAGCUGUAGCAGUGAGGUGGAAAAAGAGACCCAGGAGAAGAUGACCAUCCUCCAGAACUACUUCAAGCAGAACAGAGAUGAAGUUCUGGAUAACCUCUUGGCCUUUGUGUGUGACAUCCGACCAGAAAUCCAUGAAAACUACCGCAUAAACGGAUAGGAGGCAGAAGUGCCUGCUCUGUGGGUUGGCCUGAGAUCUGCCCUCCAUAGAAUAGGAAACUUCCACAGAGCUUGAGUUCUGUUCUGGAAGGCAUUAAAUUAUUUCUCUAUGCUGUUGUAGGAUCCUUCACUUUUUGAGAGUAUCAAAUCUAGCUUUUUGUACAGAUGUUUAUUAUGUACCUGAAGUUUCAUCUUAUCUUUUAUGUCUUUAAGGAGUGUAUGUCACCUGUUUUCCUGUGUCUUCAUGCAAGUAAUGGGUAUUAAUGUUGACUUUUUUUUAUUAGUCUAGUAGAAAAAAAAUUCUUUGAAGAAAGAAAGGGAGUAAAUUGUUCCCUUUUACUUUCUUAAAGGUCAGGGGCGUUAUCUAUGAAAAAGUAGUAAAUAGCUAUGUGUAACUCCUAUGAAGAGCAGCCAGCUUUACAGUACUCUAUCCUGGAUAAUUUAGGACAGUGAGUAUGAUAUGCUUGUUCCAGCUGCUGUUAGUGUAUCCUAACACCAAUCACUAGAUGCUAGGACUCAACUUGUUACAUGUUAUUUGAUGUGCUUGAAAUCAUUUAAAAGUAAAACUUUGUCUUGCCUUUCA